GUCUGAGUGAAGCCUUCGGCUCACCGAAGAAGUGCAUCGGAAACUGGGAAACUUGAGUGCAGAAGAGGACAGUGGAACUCCAUGUGUAGCGGUGAAAUGCGUAGAUAUAUGGAAGAACACCAGUGGCGAAGGCGGCUGUCUGGUCUGUAACUGACGCUGAGGCUCGAAAGUAUGGGUAGCAAACAGGAUUAGAUACCCUGGUAGUCCAUACCGUAAACGAUGAAUGCUAAGUGUUGGAGGGUUUCCGCCCUUCAGUGCUGCAGCUAACGCAUUAAGCAUUCCGCCUGGGGAGUACGGCCGCAAGGCUGAAACUCAAAGGAAUUGACGGGGGCCCGCACAAGCGGUGGAGCAUGUGGUUUAAUUCGAAGCUACGCGAAGAACCUUACCAGGUCUUGACAUACUAUGCAAAUCUAAGAGAUUAGACGUUCCCUUCGGGGACAUGGAUACAGGUGGUGCAUGGUUGUCGUCAGCUCGUGUCGUGAGAUGUUGGGUUAAGUCCCGCAACGAGCGCAACCCUUAUUAUCAGUUGCCAGCAUUAAGUUGGGCACUCUGGUGAGACUGCCGGUGACAAACCGGAGGAAGGUGGGGAUGACGUCAAAUCAUCAUGCCCCUUAUACCCUGGGGGCUA
rnacentral:rRNA from 1 species